GUGUUUGAUUUAAGGAGAGAUGGUUAGCAUCUCCCCUGCAGGGCUGGGAACAGCCUUUGGGCUUCCCUAACAUACGGUUAUAGAAUCCUUUGCUGUGAGAGCACCAAGAACAAACAAAAACCAUAAUAUGAU
rfam:Cucumis melo, WGS project CAJI01000000 data, contig: 24999